rnacentral:lncRNA from 1 species
UACCGGGUGGAGAACGUGCUCGAGGACAUCCGCCAGGUCGUCGAGGCCCUGGGCACCCGCGGCGAGAAGGGGGUCCCCAAGUGCAUCCUGGUGGGUCACGACUGGGGUGGGCUCUUCUCCUGGGAGUUUGCUGCCGUCUACCCGGACAUGGUGGAGAAGCUGGUGAUCAUCAACGCGCCUCACCGGGCGGUCAUGACAGAUUUCACCGCCUGCCAUCCCACCCAGCUGCUGCGCUCCAGCUACAUCUUCCUCUUCCAGCUGCCCUGGCUGCCCGAGCUGCUCCUGUCCCCGCACG